GCGGACGGGUGAGUAACGCGUGGGUAACCUGCCCUGUACUGGGGGACAACAGUUGGAAACGACUGCUAAUACCGCAUAAGCGCACGGGAUCGCAUGAUCGUGUGUGAAAAACUCCGGUGGUACAGGAUGGACCCGCGUCUGAUUAGCUGGUUGGUGAGGUAACGGCCCACCAAGGCAACGAUCAGUAGCCGGCCUGAGAGGGUGAACGGCCACAUUGGGACUGAGACACGGCCCAAACUCC
rnacentral:rRNA from 1 species